rnacentral:rRNA from 1 species
GACGUAGGGCGCGAGCGUUGUCCGGAUUUAUUGGGCGUAAAGAGCUCGUAGGCGGCUUGUCGCGUCGAAUGUGAAAACUCGGGGCUCAACCCCGCGCUUGCAUUCGAUACGGGCAGGCUCGAGUUCGGUAGGGGAGACUGGAAUUCCUGGUGUAGCGGUGAAAUGCGCAGAUAUCAGGAGGAACACCGGUGGCGAAGGCGGGUCUCUGGGCCGAUACCGACGCUGAGGAGCGAAAGCGUGGGGAGCGAACAGG